GAGUUUGAUCCUGGCUCAGAUUGAACGCUGGCGGCAUGCCUUACACAUGCAAGUCGAACGGCAGCAUGAUCUAGCUUGCUAGAUUGAUGGCGAGUGGCGAACGGGUGAGUAAUACAUCGGAACGUGCCCUGUAGUGGGGGAUAACUAGUCGAAAGAUUAGCUAAUACCGCAUACGACCUGAGGGUGAAAGUGGGGGACCGCAAGGCCUCAUGCUAUAGGAGCGGCCGAUGUCUGAUUAGCUAGUUGGUGGGGUAAAGGCCCACCAAGGCGACGAUCAGUAGCUGGUCCGAGAGGACGAUCAGCCACACUGGGACUGAGACACGGCCCAGACUCCUACGGGAGGCAGCAGUGGGGAAUUUUGGACAAUGGGCGAAAGCCUGAUCCAGCAAUGCCGCGUGUGUGAAGAAGGCCUCGGUUGUAAGU
rnacentral:rRNA from 1 species